AUUCUAAUUUUUUUUAACCAAUAGUCUUCAAUAAAUAUAAUUAAUCUAUUUUUGUAAAAUAUUCUUUUUCUAAAACUCAGAUUUCUAUCUUAACGAAACGGAGGCGGAAUUCUCUUUUUACUGAGUAUAUUGUCAACUUUUUCAACUUUGGCAUGGGUAUCCGAGCCAUACGUGCAAAUCGGUGGUGACUUUUAUGAGAAUAUACCAUUGAGGUAAUGAACUCUACUCUUACUUUUAUGACUAUCAUUCAACCAAACACAUAGACAACGAGCAUUUAGCGAAGUUAUGACGUACAACACUAAAAUUGUUACUGUUAUUAGUUACCUAAACGUUCGUAUAACAGUAAAUAUUGUAUAUGCUGAGUUCUAUAUACAUGCAUUAUCAAAUUUUAAAACACAAUUAUAAGAGACAAAUUAAUGAUUUCCUAGGUCAAGACGACAAGAGAUAUGAUUAGGAUAUCCAUUUGAUAGUGUAAUUAUAUAUCAUAAAUAGUCUUCCAUCCAAUUCUGUUUGCCAUGAUUAUGUUUUGCGAUCAUAUUUUCUGAAGUCAAACUAAAACACACAUAUAUAUAUAUAUAUAUCCAUCCCCACAUAAACAAAAAGACCUAACUCUUGCACUAAAUUAACAAAAUAAAAAUUACGCCGUGUUGCUUUUUCUUCGUUUUAUUAACAAAAAGGCUGAGUGUUGCUUUUAUUCGUUUUGUUGUAAACCAAUUUAACUAUAUAUAUUUGGCUACAUAACAUAACGUAUUCAUGUAAUUAAGAAACUACUUUUUUGCAUUUACAAAAAAAGAAUAUUUUGGUUAUUGUGAUUUUAAUCAAAGUAAUUUUAAAAUUUAUAGUUGAAAACCUCCACUGGAUUUAAGUUUUUCAAAUACAGACGAAAGUAACUAUUUCCACUAAAAAGAGAGAUAAAAUGAUAUAUACAUUAAUUAGCUUUAGGAAAGAAAAAAGCUUGUUUCCAUAAAAUCACUAUUUGCAUUAGACUUAUGAACACAAAACUGUACGGAAAGAACAAGUUUAACAUUAAUUUGAAUUUUAUGUUGAUUAGAAGAGUCUCCUAGCCGUCUAUAAGUUUAGUCUAGAGGAUUCUUGUGUUGCUUUCCAAUACUUUAUUCAAAGUUUGACAGCUGCAUAGUACAUAGAACUCCUUAAACCAAAAGUAAAAACGGGUAUGAUUGCUCAAUGAUUUCUUAGGAGUCCGUGUUGCCCCCUUGGAGCUUAGCUUCUUGAGAACUCAAAGCUGGUCAUAGUCAUAUCACCUUGUAUAACUGUAGGUACACAGAGAGGAGCUUGUAAGAGUUUGGACAUAAUACGAGGUUGAUGUCUGAGUGUUCGUUUUCUUUUGUCAAUCUUUCAUAUGGAUGUGCGGUGUUGAUAAAGUCUGAGUCUGAUAUAUUUAAGUGAAAUACUUACAUGUUCAUGUGUCAUAUCUUGAAUAUUUUAUGGUGUGAUUCGAAAUUGGAGUGACAUCUAUUUUCCCCCUUUUCUAGUAUUUUAGUCAUGCUGGCUACUAAGUGAUGCGAUUUUCUUUUGUGCAGGAAGCUAAUCUCGACGCUGGAGAAUCAGGGAACCAUGACAAGGUCUACCAAUUAACAAAGCACGAGUUUUCAAGCCCAGGACGUGGAAAGUCUAGUGGCGUACAUGCUUUAACACUUAAUCUCACUUCCUACUCUGCUCCAUUUUUUGUUUUGCUUUGAGUUCUAAUUCAUUUUCUCAGUGUCCUUUUUUGGUUCUUAUGAUCUUUGUAUAAUUCACUGAAUGUAAGUCACAGUGAUAUCAGCAAGACGAAAGUCAGUGAUCCCGCAUCAAAUGUCUCGUUGCUGUGGAGAAGGACCAAUCCACCACCUAAUGGCUAAUGUCACUAGAUCCAACUUGACCUCAUUCUCCAUCACCUUGAACGAGCUGACACCUGGAUUGCAGGAGAUGCUUCCUCCCACAGACUCAUAGCUCUAGGCUAAGACCGGACCAAUGACAUCUGGAGACUGGAGAAUGGUGAAUAUGAGAAGGAAAACUUAGAGAAACAACGGUUAGAAAGAAGGCAAAGAAUGGUUGGUACGUUACCAUUAACAUUUCACUGGUCCAUGAUGAUCUCUCUAGGCUGAUCUUUCAACCUGAAAUCAGAUUUUUGAAAAGUUUCGUUUCUUCAUUGAACUCUGCUUAAGAGAAAAUUUUCAUCCGGGCAACAUUGGAGUUGUUUAUACAGAAUCUCGACAUGGAGGAUCAAAAGCUAAUGUUCUGCUUGCAAGAGGGGCAUAGAGCAAGAUAUCACAAAGGUUUUUGGUUAUAUUUUUUGUUUGUAAGAAGGUGUAGUCUUUAUCUCCUAAAGAUGUCCUCCUUUAGGUAGAUUGUCUCUGUAAAGUCGUAUCGUCGUCUAUUUCCUUCUCUACCUCUCGCGUUAAAUAGUUAAGAUUAAUGUUA